AUGACCUCUGUGUCCAUUCUCAUCCUUGUGAUGCUAUUCACACCUAGACUAACAGAAGCACAGUCAGUGACUCAGCCUGAAGACCGGGUCUCUGUCUCUGAAGGGUCUCCAGUGGAGCUCAAAUGCACUUAUUCCUAUUCUGGGGCCCCUUUUCUCUUCUGGUAUGUCUGGUAUCCCAACCAAGAGCUUCAACUCCUCCUGAGACAUUCUUCAGGGGAAAGCAACAAAGGUUUUCAGGCUAAUCUCAAUAAGACUGAAACCUCCUACAAUCUGAGGAAGCUCCAUGUUCAAAAGGAAGAUUCAGCUGUGUACUUCUGUGUUCUGAGUGACACAGUGGGAGGUCUCAUAAGGGGAGCUGAACACAAACCUGCAGAGACAGUCUUUGAAAUGUUCCUCUAA